rnacentral:rRNA from 1 species
GCAUAUCAAUAAGCGGAGGAAAAGAAACUAACAAGGAUUCCCCUAGUAACUGCGAGUGAAGCGGGAUGAGCUCAAAUUUAAAAUCUGGCGGUUUUGGCCGUCCGAGUUGUAGUCUGGAGAAGUGCUUUCCGUGCCGGACCGUGUACAAGUCUCUUGGAACAGAGCGUCAUAGAGGGUGAGAAUCCCGUCUUUGACACGGACUACCGGUGCUUUGUGAUGCGCUCUCGAAGAGUCGAGUUGUUUGGGAAUGCAGCUCAAAAUGGGUGGUGAAUUCCAUCUAAAGCUAAAUAUUGGCGAGAGACCGAUAGCGAACAAGUACCGUGAGGGAAAGAUGAAAAGCACUUUGGAAAGAGAGUUAAACAGUACGUGAAAUUGCUGAAAGGGAAACGCUUGAAGUCAGUCGCGUCGUCCGGAACUCAGCCUUGCUUUUGCUUGGUGCACUUUCCGGUUGACGGGCCAGCAUCGAUUUUGACCGUCGGAGAAUGGCUUGAGGAAUGUGGCACCCUCGGGUGUGUAUAGCCUCUUGUCGCAUGCGACGGUCGGGAUCGAGGUUCGCAGCGCGCCUUUAUGGUCGGGGGUUCGCCUCACGUUCGCGCUUAGGAUGCUGGCGUAAUGGCUUUAAACGACCCGUCUUGAAACACGGACCAAGGAGUCUAACAUGCCUGCGAGUGUUUGGGUGGAAAACCCGAGCGCGUAAUGAAAGUGAAAGUCGAGACCUCUGUCGUGGAGGGCAUCGACGCCCGGCGCUGACGUUUUCUGAGGCUGCCGCGGUAGAGCAUGUAUGUUGGGACCCGAAAGAUGGUGAACUAUGCCUGAAUAGGGUGAAGCCAGAGGAAACUCUGGUGGAGGCUCGUAGCGAUUCUGACGUGCAAAUCGAUCGUCAAAUUUGGGUAUAGGGGCGAAAGACUAAUCGAACCAUCUAGUAGCUGGUCUGC